rnacentral:misc_RNA from 1 species
GAUGAAGAACGUAGCGAAAUGCGAUAAGUAGUGUGAAUUGCAGAAUUCAGUGAAUCAUCGAAUCUUUGAACGCACAUUGCGCCCCUUGGUAUUCCAUGGGGCAUGCCUGUUCGAGCGUCAUUUGUACCUUCAAGCUCUGCUUGGUGUUGGGUGUUUGUCUCGCCUCUGCGUGUAGACUCGCCUUAAAACAAUUGGCAGCCGGCGUAUUGAUUUCGGAGCGCAGUACAUCUCGCGCUUUGCACUCAUAACGACGACGUCCAAAAGUACAUUUUUUCACUCUUGACCUCGGAUCAGGUAGGGAUACCCGCUGAACUUAAGCAUAUCAAUAAGCGGAGGA